AGAGUUUGAUCCUGGCUCAGAUUGAACGCUGGCGGCAGGCCUAACACAUGCAAGUCGAGCGGAUGAGGGGUGCUUGCACCCCGAUUCAGCGGCGGACGGGUGAGUAAUGCCUAGGAAUCUGCCCGAUAGUGGGGGACAACGUUUCGAAAGGAACGCUAAUACCGCAUACGUCCUACGGGAGAAAGUGGGGGCUCUUCGGACCUCACGCUAUCGGAUGAGCCUAGGUCGGAUUAGCUAGUUGGUGGGGUAAAGGCCCACCAAGGCGACGAUCCGUAACUGGUCUGAGAGGAUGAUCAGUCACACUGGAACUGAGACACGGUCCAGACUCCUACGGGAGGCAGCAGUGGGGAAUAUUGGACAAUGGGCGAAAGCCUGAUCCAGCCAUGCCGCGUGUGUGAAGAAGGUCUUCGGAUUGUAAAGCACUUUAAGUCGGGAGGAAGGGCUGUAGGUUAAUACCCUGCGGUUUUGACGUUACCGACAGAAUAAGCACCGGCUAACUUCGUGCCAGCAGCCGCGGUAAUACGAAGGGUGCAAGCGUUAAUCGGAAUUACUGGGCGUAAAGCGCGCGUAGGUGGUUUGGUAAGUUGGAUGUGAAAGCCCCGGGUUCAACCUGGGAACUGCAUCCAAAACUGCCUGACUAGAGUACGGUAGAGGGUGGUGGAAUUUCCUGUGUAGCGGUGAAAUGCGUAGAUAUAGGAAGGAACACCAGUGGCGAAGGCGACCACCUGGACUGAUACUGACACUGAGGUGCGAAAGCGUGGGGAGCAAACAGGAUUAGAUACCCUGGUAGUCCACGCCGUAAACGAUGUCGACUAGCCGUUGGGCUCCUUGAGAGCUUAGUGGCGCAGCUAACGCAUUAAGUCGACCGCCUGGGGAGUACGGCCGCAAGGUUAAAACUCAAAUGAAUUGACGG
rnacentral:rRNA from 1 species